CCCUUAGAUGUUCUGGGCUGCACGCGCGCUACACUGAUACAUGCAACGAGUUUAUAACCUUGAUCUGACGGUCUGGGUAAUCUUCAAACUGUAUCGUGUUAGGGAUCGAUUCUUGCAAUUUUUAAUCGUAAACGAGGAAUUCCUAGUAAACGCAAGUCAUCAGCUUGCAUUGAUUACGUCCCUGCCCUUUGUACACACCGCCCGUCGCUACUACCGAUUGAAUGGCUUAGUGAGGCCUCCGGAUUGGCUUUGGGGAGCCGGCAACGGCACCUCAUGGCUGAGAAGUUGGUCAAACUUGGUCAUUUAGAGGAAGUAAAAGUCGUAACA
rnacentral:rRNA from 1 species